UGCCGCGCGCGCCAUUCAUAUGAAAAUUACCUGAGCGGGCUAUGCAAACAAGAUCAACGCCCCCAAACAAUGCUAUAAGAAGCAUAAAGUUUUAACAGAUUCAUUCACUUAUUGACACGCUGGGAAGAUGAAACGGACUCCAACGAUGAACAAUUGUAUUUUGAAGAGCGACUUGAUCCAGCUGCGGAUAUAAUUUCUGAAGAGUAAGUUUUACUAACAUUUGUUGAAAUCUUGUGUGAUGUAAAAUUAUAUAUACUGUACAGUAUACAGACUAUUUGCAAGCAGAUAUUCAGAGCGACUUUAUAGAAACGUCUCGUAAUUGGCAACUUUUAUUUACCUUAAAAUGUUAGUUCUUAUUAAGCAGUAUGCUGAUUAAUGUAAUGUGAAUAUACAAUAUUUUAUAUAGAAAUAUCACUAUUUAGAAUAUAUUUUGACUAGUGUUUAUGUCUCAAGUAGCCUUGUUUACGUGACUAUCUGUUCGAGUGUAAAUGUAUCAAUGUGGUGUCAAUGAGCUGUAAAUGUGCCCGGAGAUAUGUCAUGUGUUAAAUUAAAAUGUUUAGCCAUAAAUAUGUCUGUUAAUGGCCCGUUAACAAACAUAUACAGCGCAUCUCCGUACCCAAUUAUCUUAUCUCAGCUAUGCUUGACUGCCUUAGUUAAUGCUUUAUAAGUCUGUUACUGUGUCGAAUACAUUAUAUUAAUUAUUAAAAACUUUUGUAGGAAUGUGGCUGCAUCACUCUUGUCUUCACCUGCACUGGCUACAGCACUUUCACCUUCGUUUGAUGCUCGCACGGGGGCACGCAGCAACGAGAACAAUAAAGAGUACGUCCACAUGUAACCAUUUUUUUCUAUUAUGCGUGCAGAAUAUUUGUAUUACUGAUGUGGAAAAUACAUUAUAUUAAUUGUUUGCUUUGUAAAUACUUUGAAAAAUACAUGAUACUAAUUAGGAUUUUUUUUUUUACGAAUGUGGCUGCAACGAGUUCACCUUCGUUUGACACUCGCACGAGGGCACGCAGCAACGCGACCGACAUUCAUCCUGUGAAUGUGUCUGCAUCACCUUUACCUGCUACACACACACGCCGUAGGUCUCUUUCAGUUCUCAAAGCAACUGAGACUAAUAUAUUUAACACUGACAGUGAUAAUGCACCUGUUGCAAAGAGACACAAGACCAACAUCCAGGCAAGCAGCAGGCAGUCCGUUCUGUCAUGCAAAACAUGUAAUGUUCCCUUGUGUGUUCAGUUAAAUAGGAACUGUUUUGAACAAUGGCAUGACAACAUUUAACAAAUUUAUAUUUAUAUAAAUAUUUAAUUUAUAUGUAAAGUAUUUUUAGAUGCACACCAAACUGUACA